rnacentral:rRNA from 1 species
GACGAACGCUGGCGGCGUGCUUAACACAUGCGAGUCGAACGGAAAGGCCCCUUUGGGGGUACUCGAGUGGCGAACGGGUGAGUAACACGUGAGUAACCUGCCCUUGACUUCGGGAUAACUUCAGGAAACUGGGGCUAAUACCGGAUAGGAAUCCUUGCUGCAUGGUGGGGGUUGGAAAGCUUCGGCGGUUUUGGAUGGACUCGCGGCUUAUCAGCUUGUUGGUGGGGUAGUGGCUUACCAAGGCUUUGACGGGUAGCCGGCCUGAGAGGGCGACCGGCCACAUUGGGACUGAGAUACGGCCCAGACUCCUACGGGAGGCAGCAGUGGGGAAUAUUGCACAAGGGGCGGAAGCCUGAUGCAGCAACGCCGCGUGCGGGAUGACGGCCUUCGGGUUGUAAACCGCUUUCAGCAGGGGCGAAGCUUGUGGUGACGGUACCUGCAGAAGAAGCACCGGCUAACUACGUG